GGAUGGGGUAUAGCUCAGUGGUAGAGUGCAUGCUUAGCAUGCAUGAGGUCCUGGGUUCAAUCCCCAGUAUCUCCA
rnacentral:tRNA from 1 species